rnacentral:misc_RNA from 1 species
CCUUUUAACAUAAUAAUUGACGUGAAUGUGAAAUUAUAAACUAACCACUUUUAAAUUCCCUAGUAUAUCAUUGGUCAUAAAAUAUGGCGUUGUCGAAUUUCCCGCACAAAAUCUAUCGAAUGUUGUAGCGAUGACAAUGAUAUUCGAUAAUCAACGAUAGCGAUAGUUGUCGAUACAAACUGUAACGACAGGUGCGAAAAAGCCACCAUGGAAUUCAUCACCGUGAUCCGACUAAUCCGUGCGGAUUUCAGUUAAUUUCUGGAGAUGUGGAAGCCUCGAGUGCGUCGAACGAGUUACAAGACGUAGAGCAGAUUCUAUCCACUGAAAAUGACUCAGCCAACACAGGACACGGACAUCACCAGUUCCAUUUCACCUCUGUUUGAUGCUCAACGCAAUGAUAUUUGCGGAGACAACGUGAAGUUGGUGCAAGGACGACUUACCUCAUUCAUCAUGGAAGAGGUAUAUUUGGAAAAAUCAAAAUCUGAGUCCAACUCAACGGCUAGACAUCAAGGUUCCGAACUGGUUAAAUCUUUGGGCGAGACCUUCCCUUGGCUGAUUAAAUUCUCCAAAGUAAUACAGUCUACGGUCGGAAGUAAAAAUGCUAAGCUGCUCGACAGACUGCUGCUGGUAUAUAUCGAGAAUAUAUCGAGAGAUGUCAAUACCUGUUACACUAAGCCUUGCAGAGCAGCCAAAUUAAAGUCUCACGUGAGCGAAACUCUCAUCUUUUUUCACCUUUAUUGGAAAAAUAUCAAAGAGAGAGUCGACGACCACAACCAAUAUUUGGAUAGAAUGUCCGAGAUCUUAGGAAUGUACGUAGACAUGGAGCUCAAGGCCUCUCGCAGAGGCAAGGAUUCGACUAUGAAAAUUGCUGCUAAACUGCUCUCUGCCAUGUUCAUAUAUCUGGAUAAUUCGGAAGAACAUAUAUUCAGAGUCUUGUUCAGAGUGAAACUCUUGACAAAAAACUACAGGGCGAUCUGCGAUCCUAUAUUCGAGAAACUGUUCGCUGGCUUCUCCGCGAAUACAAAAUGUAUCACCGAUGUGACUUAUGUUCGUUAUUUGCUGGCGUUAAAGUUAUGGAAAAAGAUGAAAGAUGAUGUGCAAGAAAAAAAGAAAAUCAACGAGCUCGCAGUCGUUAUUCUCGGUCAACAUGUUCCCUCCAUGCCUUCUGAGCUCUUGAAAAUCAUUGCGCAGCCACCAGAGUGUCAGAAAAAUGGAGCCUUGUGGCUGCUUCGGCCAAAUUCAUUUGAUUUGCGAGAAGCUUGCGAUAGUUUCAUCAAAUAUGAGGUCAAUGAACACAUCAUUUUACCCAUGGAACCCAUCGAGAGAUUAAAAAUUAUUGAUAGUACCGCCGUGCCCUCUACUCAAAGCUUUGAGUUUGUCGAUGGGUCGCAAAGGAAAGAUGCUAGUCGCUGGAAAAGUGUGGACACAGAACCGGAGAUAAAAGUAGCGAAUCGGGUAGAUGUGUCAGUGAGUGGCGAACAACCGGUCAAAAAAAUAGUGAAAUUGAAAAAAUUUAAACCAUUAUUCCCAAAGCUGAGACCUGGAGAGGUAGUUUUCAUUGAUUUGACGACGGAAAAUGAGGAGAACAAGCAUGGAGGUGGUAAGAAGGAUAAGAGGAAAAAUAAGAAGAAGCUACGCUGGUUAAAAGAGGUUCGAAAGAGAUCAAAGCUCAAGAAAGAACGUUCAAGCUCCGGCAAAGUGUGGAUAGAAAAAGCCGAUGCGCAUAGCACUAGAAGUAACGAGGAGAGAACGAAGAGGACUGAGAUGAACUGGCCAAUUUCGGAAGACACGGUCACCGAAAGUACCAAUCGAAUGAAAAGUACAGUGCAAAGAACUGCCCACCGAUUCGCCAAGCGAGUGACAACCUUGAACGUCGGUAGUUGCAGGGCGGACCAGGCUCAGAAUAAGUGCGAUAAGACCUGCAAAGGAUGUGACUCCUGUAGUUCGACAGAUAAAUUGAAUUAUAAGACCGAAAGACAAGAGGAUAUUGAGAGUCCAGAGAACUUUGUCACUUCCCAAUCAUCGCCGGUCAAGAACAACGCGAUGGUUUUAUGUAGUGGUGCGUUUGUGAAAAGUAAAAUCUUUCUGCAAUCGGAAAUUUUUGGCGAAGCCACGUCUUGCGAAAAGUUUGUUAGUAGCGUAAACCAAGACUCCGAAUACUCGAGAGGUUAUAAUUCUAAAGAUUCUUCUAACGUGGACCGAGUGGAACCCAUCCCAACCAGAAAACUAAUAAAACAGGAACCGCAGGAUAUUAUAAAUGAUAGUACAACUGAUAAAGACUGUGAUAAAAUAAUACUUACCGAUUCAUCUAGCUUUAAAAUAACCAGGGAGGUCGCCGGACACUCGAUGAAACGAAAUUCACCUUCAUCUGUCAUUAAGCUGGGGGCAGAAGAUACGGUUCUUUCGACAAGUUCAAGUCAAAGUAAACUUUUUAUCCCUACCGCUCGUGGAAAGCUGUCGAACAUUGAGGAGCCGUUCAAUGAAACCUGUGUUGUGUCGACUACAGCUUCUUUCGUCGAGUCUGGCACCGAAGAACAAAUAAACGUAAUCUCAGGUUCGUCGAAUAUCCACAUGGGAACUCCAGAUUCCAGAGAUGACAUAAAUCGUAGAGAUUCAGAUCUACAUUUCAACAAUAUUAAUCGUGACGCCAAUCACGGUAAAAAAGAGGCGGCGAGAAACUCAAAAAAACUAUUCUUGACCUCUAAAACGUGCAAUUCGGUGGAGACGAACAAAAAUUGCCAUAAGGACCCAGUCGGCAACACCCUCAACAGUAAACUGCAACAGAGUCUAAUUCACGCUUUGUCUUUGGAUGAAAUUAUUCAAAUUGGCAGAGACGAUCUGGACUCUGAAUCGGAGAACGAAGAAAGAGAAGGAUCUCAAAGUACAGCAAUGGGUCAAUCGACAAUGCCCGAUCCGCAAAAACAAUCAGCUUUUGGCUAUAAAGAUAGUGAUUUCUUUCAAAUUCCCGGAAUGCAAUUGUGCGACGAUUUGACCAGCGGUAACGAAGUCGGCAAUCUUAUUACGGCGAGCAACAAAAACGAGGUUGACGAAUUCGAGAAUAUCGAUAUAUUGGACAGCAUUUUAAACGGAGACAUGAGCAUGCAGGAUAUCCUCGAAGAGCAACAACACCUGUCGAUGACCCCAGUGACCAAUGACCCAUCCAAAAACAUGCUGGGUUUCUUCACCGAGUUCUUCAAGCAGCCCGAAUCGGCGCCACCAGCUAAAAAAAAUUGCGCCCCAGAUGAAACCUCCCAUUUGGACAAGCUGUCAAAAUCUUUACCCGAGGGCAGUCUGGGCACUACUGGAAUACUCAAUUCACUCCUCGAUUCAGAUUUGGCGAGUAUAGAUUCUCCCCCGAGUGAUUUCAUGUACUCGAAUGUUCAGACCAUCGAUCCAAGAUUAAUCAGAAAGUCCCCCACCGCAGAACGCGCCGCUUUUCUCAGUGACUUCAGCACGGUAUCCGAUCUAUUUUCCCAGAAAGAUGCGUCACCUCUGGGAAAUCUUGGGACAGCCGAAUCUCUGACCAGGAGUUCUAAAGAUCAGUUAUUUCUGGAUCAAAGGGACAACCUUGACGGUACAAAUCUGGAAGAGUUCGGGUUAAACAGCAGUAAAGAAACCGACUUUGAAAUACCAGUGUUGGAAGAAGACCUGAUACAGCUUCCUCAGCAUCCGUUGAUCGACGAGACAAUGAUAACGCAUAUCUCACCACCGUCUUGCGAACCACCUUUGGCUACUCGCUCCGAAAUCAUGAAUCUGAAUGAAGCGAAGCCGGAGUUAUCUUCCUCUAGUAUUUUGCAGGAUUACAACCACCUUCAGUUUGCAGAAGAUAGUUAUCGCUGUCAAAAAAUAAUCAAUUCCAAGGGAUUCACGCCUCUGCGACUGAAGGACAGAGAACAGCAUCCUUCAAAGGAAACAGAUUCGGCUAGAGAUCUAUGCCCAAGUUCAUUGACGGACUUCACACCGCCCCAAAGCGUCGAUCCUUUGCAAUCCCCUCAUACUUUUGCCCCAUCUCCGGGGUCGGCUUACGGUCAAACGGUCUCCCAUUCUCCCACACAUUCCAUUGGAACCUCUCACCACCAAAUGUUUGCAAAUAUGUUGACGCCUCCGCCAAGUGUGUCGCAGUCUAAUCGUCGAAAUAAUUUGUCACCACCUCCAACUCAGCAACAUAACCAAAAUCUGUUCUCCGAAGGUCUCGACCGACAGUUGGAAGUGGUUUAUUGUGCUAGAAGAAAUGUACAAGGAGGAUCCAGUCAUCAUCUGCCGAGCCAAUCUCAGGAUAAAAUGGGCUCAUAUUUCCGUGCCAUUUCGAGUGCUCGAAAUACAGACUCAGAGGCUGCACCGUCUUUGCGAAAGCAAGAUCAUUGCAAAAUGAUGAGACGAAAGCCACCAACUAAAGCGACGUCUGUGGGCCGUUCUAAGAAAAAUUUGGAAUUGAGGACAGAGUCGAUAAAAUUGGAGGAGCAAGCGAUCACUACAAAUCAUGAGCAGUCCAUAUGUCUGGCGCAAGUUCAAGUUGCUUUGACAAGACUAACCAGCAAGGAAAUUAACACAAAGGCUCACAGCGAACAAAGCAGACAAGAGGCGAACAUUCCAUUUAAUAAUGCACCACCGGCAACGACGAUAAAAGCAGCUCAGUGUCAAUUAAACACGCAGAUCAAUGUACCUGAUUCUGUAAGCCACCCUUGUCUGCAGCGUAUAGACUUUCGAAAAUUCAGUAUAACCGCGCAGCAGAAAAAGCCAGUAUUUGUAAAUCUGAAGGGAAAAACUAAACCGGCGUUGAUGUUUGAGAGGACUGCGCAAAAUGAUAAGUUGUUGAAAAGUUUCAACGAGGAUGUAAAUAGUCGUAAUAUUAUGUAUACAUUGACGUCUAACGUCGACCCUGCUACCUCGAAAGAAGAGUCAUAUUCCAAGCUUCCAGGAGUUAAUUUUACAAUGCAAAGUCAAACUGGCAUCGUCGAAAAGUCACAGUCGACAAUUACCAGAUGUGCUACCGAUUCAGAAACUUGUAAAGAGACGCAGAACAUUACCAGACCAAGAUGUUCCAUGCGGCGCGUCAAGGCUCAGGCCAACAAGUCUAUCGUCGAACAGAGUACUCGAAAGGCAUUCAUAAUUCCCAACACCGAAGAACCUUCUUUGAAGAAACGUAAGAUGACUCCGAAGUUGCUGCCAUUGCUGGAAAAGGAAGGCAUUAUCUACACCGUUCAACAAACUCCACUAGACAAACAUUCGAACGUUUUGAGAAGAGGUAAUUCGCAAGUACAUCAAACGUACACCUCGAUAAAAAAUCAAAUCACAUUAACUUCCAUUUUAUACGUAGAUCGCUUCACGUGCUGUUAUUUCAUUUUUUUUUGUACAUUCGUAGUUGAAUUACAGUUGACAGUUAGUAAGUUUAAAUUUCGCGACGAUCGUCGUAUAUGGAGGAUAAGUUGAUUCGUAUGAAAUUGAUAAAAUCGUCGAAAUUUUUGGACGAUCACCUUUCGAUUCCACCGUUGAUCAAAAUUCGCGAAUAAAGAUUUACGCGAGGGACAAUCAUCACGGAAGAUUAAAAAUCUACAGAUACGAAGAUCCGGCAGCCGACCCUCACUGAAGAUACUUGUGCGUUUGCUGUAAUGCUUUCAGCUUAUUAUGUGACUAAGUUCACAGCAAUGAUAACUCGAUAGCCAAUACACUAUUCUUAUAUCAAACAUGAGGUCGUGUUCAAAUGACAAAAAGCAGAGAAAAAGUAAAUGCAUGGUGCUUUUCUGCCUUUGUAAAGUCGGUAAAAAAUUAAACUUUCUUGAAAAUCAUAAAUCAGUCACGGAAGAUGAAGGAUCAAAAAGAUUUUGCCCGGAAAGAUAGAGCGAAGAAAAAAGUUGUCUGAUGGGUUCUUUGCCUGCACGAUGCGAGGCGGCACAUAAUCAAACCAGUGAACAUGUAAGACUACACCGUUGAGCUACCUUGUACGACAGUCAUCGAUAAACCAUAAUUCAGUGACGACGGCAAGUAUGUACAAUUGUAAGAUUUGUUAUUGAACAACGCGAGUCACUGCGGUAGUCACAUUUUCUCAGUAAGCAAUUUUUAUCAUUCCAAAUAUUAUCUUUAUUAUUGUUAAAUUAUUUCAACGAUGUCGUUGCCUCUGUUCUUUAUCUUCUUACGCCUGCGGUAAGAAGAAUGUCUUAAUUUUUUAGAAAGAAAUACCAGAACGGUGCACUUGACCAUCGCGAUAAAGUGAAUACGAUCAAUUUAUUAUUUCACAACGGUAAACAAAAAUAUGUGAUAUACACUUAGACAUCAUUGUCGUAACUACUAGUAGAUCAGCUGUUUCACUUGUAAUGUUAUUUUCGUUUUUAUUUUCCUAGUUUUUCUUCUUUACCUCUCUGCGCCAAUUUGGUACAAAAUUAUAGAAAUAAUUUAUCGAUGGUUCAGGGUAUGAACGUCACUGAAUGUACAUACAUUUAGUUAUAGUUGUAAAUAGGCAACGAAACCGUGCGAAGAACGUGUAACGUGUGAUUAUACCGAUGAUCUCUCACAAAAAGUUUAGAAUUCCUCUUUGUAGUAUAGCACUGAGUUUGUACAUAAGAGCACCUAGUUUAUUUUAUUUCAUUUUUUUAUAGUAACGAUAUAAUUCGUGCGUAAUUUAAGAAUAUAAUGCAAGAAGAUGUCAAGAACUUAAAUAGGAGAAAUAUUUUUUUCGUCUUGGAGAAAUAAUUUUAACUGAAAAUCAUUUUCAAAACUGAUAUUAUAAAUACAAAAUAAUACUAAAUAACGUUUAAAUCUUUCCGUCUGCGUUAUUGUAUAGAUGAUUAUAGUUUAUCUGCAUGAAUACCAAUCGAUAUGCGUAUUAUAAAGAGUGAGCUCAAUUAAAAAAUGGUAAAAAAAUAACUCAUUUCCGUUUGGAUCAUCUCUUCAAACGUAGACAAGGAAAAAAUAUGUGAAUUUUAAGGACUGAUAUAUUUUGUACCUGUUGGUUUCUCUUUAACUCUUUGCCAUUUUUAUUUUUCUUGAAACUUUUCACAUGAAAAAGUCAUACUUGAAUUACCUGAGUUCAGAAGGACGUAGCUUAAGUACAUCGAAUCAUCAUUUUUGGGCAUUCAUAAUCGUAAUCGAUUCUGCCUCUGGUACACGAGGUUCGCAAUCGUAAACACAUGUUCUCCAAAGUCACCCACUCGACUAAUCAAUCCUAAUAAGCAAUAAUCUUUAGCCAUGAAAUUUCAUUCAUUUGGGGGUGAUCAGCAGCCCGUUGCGCCAGAUUAUAACAAAUACCGAAAGAACUAACCAAACAUGUCCAGUAGACGUGUCCUUAACAAGGGUAGAAUAGAAUUUUGACGGUCUUACCUGUCAAAUUGGUUCAAAGUGAUUUUUAAAAAAUUCACAAUUGCAUUGAUCUUAUGUGGAUUUCAAUCUUUCGAUCACCAUUGACCCGAUCAUUGGCUGAAAAAUUUGCAACUCUCAGAAAAUAUUGACAGCAAUGACACCCUUCAGUUGGAUUUUUUUAGAACCAGUCACAAACAAUUUAAAAGCUAAGCCUCAAAGUUAAAAUUGGUCCAGUCGUAACACAUUAACCUUAACUUUAACCUUCUACCUAACACCUCAAACCUCUGGUUUAAAAUUAUGGUACAAAGGUUAAAAAUUUUCACAUGACUAAUUAUUUUGUACAAAAAAGUCUCUCAUUUCUUAAGACCCGUCCCAUUGAAUUUUUUCAAUAUUCAGCUCUCCAAAUGAUUUUUUCUUUUUCUCACAGCGGUUUUUUGCAACUUAUGCAGAGCCAAUUUGAACCAUUUACCGUCAAAAUUCGAUUUUAUGUUUUCUAAGUCUAAUGUCUGGUGUCUGGUAACUGUUAUCGAACUAGAAAUUUUGUACAUCUAUAUAUUAAUGUGGUUCGACAGAAACUUCUUUCAUCAAUUUUUACUGUGAAACCAAUUCUUAUUUGCCAGGAAAUUCUGGGUUUGCCGGUGUCGAAAUUUGUAUUUCCCGUCUGAAUAAAGCUUGAAGAAUAUUUUUCAGGGCGUCAACUUUGGUGUUUUUCCCAAAAAGCAGAGAUAGAUUCAUCUACUCGAUUGCGUCAAGUCUCCCAAGUUUAUGUUACAGAAUAGAAUGCAAAAAAGUCGAUACCGGUAGAAGUGAACGAAAGAUUGUUUUUACAUUAAAAAUUAUUUUAGAAAAGUGAGAAAAUUAUAGGUGGGAGUAAAAAAGGAUCAUUUUUCUCUCUGGACUAUCCUAAGGCAUACGUAUAUUAGAAUCCUCUAGUAAAUUAAGAAGAAAAUUAAGUACAAGUAACGCGUAAGGCUAUUGUAAUACACCGCUAGCAAAAUUCUACUCAAUGAAAAAAAAAAAAUGUACAUUGUUAUAAAAAAUCACACCGAUGAGCCGCAGUAACACUGUUUCCAACGUCACAUCGGCGCACAGUGUUUUCACUAGGGAUUAGCGUAUUUUAUAUAACAUUAGUCAAAAACAAUAGCUAUCUUGUAGUAUAAACGUUGCAAUCCGUUUGCUUGAUCUUGUAACCGAUUCCAUUCGACUCGUUGAGUUUUCACCAUUCCCAUGAAUUCUCCGGAGCAAUGUAUCCAGCGACGACGUACCAUUGACGUAGGGUAAUCCUAAUUUCUCUUGAAUAAUUUCUCUCUUCACUGGCUAGCUACAUCGUCGAUGUAACUUACAACUGCACACAAUAAUGUCUAAGGGAUAAUUUUAAACUUUAUACGAUAAACAGUACAAAUAAUGUGAAGAAUACUCGCCGCGUGCGUUUACUGGGGUAUGCAAAAAAUCGAUCCGAAAUGGAAUUUAAAUCGAACGCUCGAGUCGACUUCGAGUCUGCGUUCUUCUUUUUUUUUUAUCGAGGUAAAUGUGCGCGGUCUUCAGAUACUUCCGGCAUUUUUUUUCCCCCACUCAUGUUCAUCGUGUUCUCACCCCCCUACCUGCCAUAUUUUAUUUAAGUUUUUAUAUUAUUUACAAACUAUGCGUAGAAACGAAUAGGCUCGUUACACACGACAUUGGAGCCACACGAUGCCACCUGAUAUUCGUCGGUAUCACGAUUACCGAGAGGUUAAUACUUCUAAAAGCAAACGUGAGGUUUUGGACUGUUCAGAAUAAUGGUUACCAUACUAUACCCGAUGUAACACGCGUCGCGCCUAUUAUCGCUGCAUUUUUAUUUUAGGUACAAAGUAUUAUUAAGCCAUAGUAUUACCUACGAUCUAUGUUAGUUUUUCCAAACUGUACAACACUGAGACUGAAAGAAAAAUAAAUAUGCCAUUUUCCAUAAUAAUAAUAACAAUAA